AUGUUUCUAGAAUCCGAUAUGCGGGCCCCACGGAUUGGCUUAAUAUGUGUAGGCUGUGUGAUGCUGAACAAUAAUCCUCAGGCAUAUACUACCGUUCAUCCCAGCCGUUGCGUGGCUUGGCAGACCAUAAUUUCACGAAGUGCGUGGGAAAAGGAAAAAAAGACAAGUGUACACAUCAAGGCCGAUUGGGAUCGCCGCCCUGUCCUUUGUCUGCGCCUAACCAACCGGACGAGCAAACAAACAAACUUCUCCCUCGCUUUCCUCUACGCUCCAAAGUCCAAACUCUGUCCUGCCUGCAACCACGUCUUAAACAAGAGCAAAGUACACCAGCGUAGCAGCGGUGUGCGACCAUCCCAACGACGGCGGCCUCAAUGUCAUCGCCAUCGUCCCCACCGCCGCCGCCUCGCUCGGCAGCAUCGCCCGUCCCCUCGACUAGAGCCAGGCACACACAGAAAAAUUCCAAUCUUCCCCGUGCUUGAAGGCUGA
rnacentral:rRNA from 1 species